CUGCCGCGAGCACAGCCGGCUCGACCCCGGCGACCCCGAGUCCGAGGCGUGGUGUGUGGUUCCUUUCCCCUGUGUGGCCGGCGGCGACCGCGCCAAUGCGCGCCGGCGGCGCAGCGCAACAGAUUACGGAUAGAUCGAUAUAUAGCUUGGCUGCGUGGAGAUCGCGUUCCGGCUCCCAAACCCUCCCUAAAUCGACAGGGCUCACCUCUCGCAAGAUGUGUGAAAGUUCCUUCAGGUCCGAGUUGCCGAGCUCAGAUUGAGCAUGCAUGCACAUAUUCCACAACAGGCUUGCUGCUACGUACAUGCAUUUUUCACUAUGGAUCAUGAUUGUGAGUUCCUUGAUGAAUACAUACCCGGGUUCUGCUAACAUGACCAAACAAUUAUUGGGACUCUCCAUUGCGAGCACUGCCAGGGCUUGUCCGGCAACCUUUCGCAUCAAGUGAUCUAAAUCUGUACUUGAGGGUGUAUCUUGGCUGAGAAAUGCAUGCAUAAGCCUGCCAAUGAUCACUCGGAUGUGCCCAAUAUUUUCCCUUGUAUUUCCGUCGAUGGCAAGGUUUCUAAGGCAUUCUGCUGUCAGCUUCCUGAGUUCUCCGCUGCUCCUGUUGUCAUCCAAGAUCUCGGCAAGGUUGCUCAAAAGGAAGGGAUGAUCUGAAAUCUUCUGUCGUAAAGUUACACCAAACUUCCCUUUAGUGCCUGCAAGUCUUGUCAGCACCUUCAAUUAUGAACCUUUCAGUAGCGUCUGGUGUGCCUCAUCAGCAUUUUUCAUACUGUUUCUGUUGCUUGUAAACUCUAUGAUCUUUGAGAUGAGACCUGUUGCUUUGCUGAUUUCCUUGCAGUUUUCAAGAUCAAAGCUACCAAGCCUGUCCAGAAUUGACAUGCCCAGUACAGGAAGGAGAUCCUGGUCUGUCGAUGGCUCCUCCACUGGAACAUACCAGCAUUUUGUAAUCUGUUUGCAGCAUCCAAUCAUGUGGGUGUUCUGUUCUUCCAUGUUGGAUGGCUCCUCUGCCGGAAUCAAGCAGUAUAUUGCCAUCUUUUUCCACCACUUAAGUACCGGGGAGUUCUGUCCAUCCAUGCUAACUUGCUGAAAUGGGGCAUAUGGCUUUGAUUCUUGGCUCUCAGUGUCCAGAAGAGGAUCCUUUAUUUCCAGUUGGUGAACAGUGUCCAAAAGUGAGGGUAUGAGCUGCAUUGCACCUGGGAUAGGGGCAACUCGGAUACUAUUAGCAAGCUCAGCUGUGACCUUUGUGGCAAAUGAUCUAAUAUCUUUAUCACCUUCACUUGUCCAUCCCAACAUGUUGAACAAUGAGGUCAAUGUCUUGGUAGAAGUGGUAAGUUCUGAGAUGACUUUAGUCCUCAGGUGCUCCUUUUUCAGAAAGUUAUGCAGCAUCUGAACCCCGUAGAGCUGCUUCUUGGGUGAAUCUGAUUUUAAAGUAUGCACAGCAAACUUGAUGAGGCUGAUCUUCUUUGGAGCAAGCACAGCCCCUCCCAUGCAUUUUUCAAAUGCGUGUGCAUAGUACUGGUUGACACAGUCCACACCUGACUGACCUCUAAAUCCAGCACAUUGGACGAGGGAUCUCCGAAGGAAGAAUGAGAAGACCUAAAGGAUGCAUGCAACAAGGUAGAGUAUCCCUUGGCCAAGCACCAUCACAUAGAAAAUAUUGAGAGAUGACACAAGGUUUGUUUUGUCCCCAAGGUUUGACUUGUCAAUGUGCGCAUCAUCACCGUAGUAGUUUUGUAACAUAAGGCGAUCUAGUGCCAUCAUGAUGCGCAACAGUGCUGCUGGAAGCUGCAAGUUGCCAAAUGACACUAUUGCUAGAGCAUAUACUUGUAUUGUGAUGAUAUAUAAUCGAGGCAUGCCAUCAAAAGUGUACAGCAGCAUCACCAUGGCAGCAAACAUGCACAAGUUUAUUGCAACUCUACGCCAAGAUACGAGCUUUCGGCCCACAGCACAAUCUGCUAGUUUGACAAUAGAUGGGAACCGAAGUUUGCUAAUUGUAAGUAGGAGUACAAUCACAAAGAGUACCAGGUAUACUGUCCAUUUGACCAUCAGGUUUCUGGGAGUAAACCUUUGAAUUCGAUGAUACCUUUGCUCAGCAUGGUAGCUAUAUGGUGCAGAGGGACCUAGCAAUAUGAUUGCAACCAUGGGGCUCCAUAAUGAUAUUGCACGGGAUAGUGAAUUGCAUAUGAGUAGUCUUGCAGCUCCUGGAAUUAGAAAACGUCCAAUCACAAGGAUUGCCAGAAAUAUAAUCCUUAUAUAUUUCAUCAAAUGGCUACUCGAGAUCAUCACGCACACCAUAACAUCUAAAAGGCAUACGGUCCAGAUCAAGCCAUUCCAGCCAAGAGACUUGAAAGCACCUCUUGUGCGGAAGAACUGGUAAUCCAGCCCAUUGUUGUUGCGGCUGAACGUCCUGAGGUGCAUAUUAUUGCACGAUUAAGCAAAAAGGAUAGCAGGCAUUCCACAAAACAUAGUCGAUCAACAUGCAUACAUCCAGACCACAAUGGCAGAUUGGCAGCUACUCCCUCCGUGCCAUAAAGGUUGGCACGGAUUUGAACUAGUUCUAGUUCAAAACCGUGCCAAUCUUUAUGGAACGGAGGGAGUAUAAAAUAACAAACUGAUCUUGACAUGAUUUCGUACAUGUUGUGAAAUGAAAUGAAUGAGAAUCUAUGUUCUAUUCCA